rnacentral:rRNA from 1 species
UCCUACGGGGGGCAGCAGUGGGGAAUAUUGCACAAUGGGGGAAACCCUGAUGCAGCGACGCCGCGUGAGUGAAGAAGUAAUUCGUUAUGUAAAGCUCUAUCAGCAGGGAAGAAAAUGACGGUACCUGAGUAAGAAGCCCCGGCUAACUACGUGCCAGCAGCCGCGGUAAUACGUAGGGGGCAAGCGUUGUCCGGAUUUACUGGGUGUAAAGGGCGUGCAGCCGGGCUGACAAGUCAGAUGUGAAAUCCCGCGGCUCAACCGCGGAACUGCAUUUGAAACUGUCAGUCUUGAGUACCGGAGAGGUC